rnacentral:lncRNA from 1 species
CCGGAAGCACCCCGCCCACCUCUCCACCGCCGAGCGGUACGCGCUGCUCAAAGCCAACGUCGACGACCUCCACCUCAUCCAAGUCGGGCUCACCCUCUCCGACGCCGCCGGCAACCUCCCCGACCUCUGCGACGACGGCGGCGUCCGCUACAUCUGGGAGUUCAACUUCAGUGAUUUCGACCUCUACCGCGACCGCUACGCCCCCGAGUCCAUCGACCUCCUCAAGUCCAACGGGAUCGACUUCGAGAAGAACCGGGCGCGGGGAAUCGACUCCCGCCACUUCGCCGAGCUCCUAAUGUCGUCGGGACUGGUGUGCAACGACUCGGCCGUGAGCUGGGUGACGUUCCACAGCGCCUACGACUUCGCAUACCUGAUCAAGAUCCUAACUUGCCGCCGGCUGCCGGAGCAUCUGGGCGGAUUCAUGGCCUUGGUGAGGGUUUUCUUCGGGGACAAGGUGUUCGAC